AACCGAGAUCAUGCUUGGCAAACUAUUGUGACCAAUGGGGUCAAGAUAUACAAUGCAUCAAGGGGUAUUUCAAAAGGACCAGAUUUUAAACAAUUGACAGGUAAUCUUAAACAAAAUGGUGGUGUUGAAUGUGGAUAUUGUGUGAUGCGGUACAUGAAAGAGAUAGUCUUAGAUGAAUAUCCACAAUUGGAGAGAAAGUUUGCAGCAUCAAAAAAUAAACAGUAUUACAAUCAAUCUCAGUAUGAUGAAGUCAGAAGUGAAUGGAGCGAAUUUGUCUAUUUCUAUGUGGGUGCCUAAGUGUAGGCUAUGAUAUAAAGUUUAGAUUGUAUUUAGAGAUUUA